GACGAACGCUGGCGGCGUGCUUAACACAUGCAAGUCGAACGGAAAGGCCCUGCUUUUGUGUGGUGCUCGAGUGGCGAACGGGUGAGUAACACGUGAGUAACCUGCCCUUGACUUUGGGAUAACUUCAGGAAACUGGGGCUAAUACCGGAUAGGAGCUCCUGCUGCAUGGUGGGGGUUGGAAAGUUUCGGCGGUCGGGGAUGGACUCGCGGCUUAUCAGCUUGUUGGUGGGGUAGUGGCUUACCAAGGCUUUGACGGGUAGCCGGCCUGAGAGGGUGACCGGCCACAUUGGGACUGAGAUACGGCCCAGACUCCUACGGGAGGCAGCAGUGGGGAAUAUUGCACAAUGGGCGGAAGCCUGAUGCAGCAACGCCGCGUGCGGGAUGACGGCCUUCGGGUUGUAAACCGCUUUCGCCUGUGACGAAGCGUGAGUGACGGUAAUGGGUAAAGAAGCACCGGCUAACUACGUG
rnacentral:rRNA from 1 species